GCUUACGGCCAUACCAGCCUGGGUACGCCCGAUCUCGUCUGAUCUCGGAAGCAAAGCAGGGUCGGGCCUGGUUAGUACUUGGAUGGGAGACCGCCUGGGAAUACCAGGUGCUGUAAGCA
rnacentral:rRNA from 1 species